rnacentral:lncRNA from 1 species
CGUUUACAAGCCAAAUUAGUAUCCAUAAAGCUCAACUGAACAGUGCAGAGAUGUAUGACAGGAAUAGCACCCAAACAAAACAUCAUUUAACAAAUCAGAACCAUAAGCCUCACAAGUUAAGCCUCAUUUUACGGCUAUAUGACCAUAUAAAACAAGCUAUGAAUUCAAGAACCAUCGCUUACAGUAGGAUCAGCAGCAGCAACAGGAGCUGAGUCCACUAUGCAACCUUUAACCCUUCCCAUCAAUGAAGAAUCUUGCUUCUGAAACUUUUCCAAAAUGGCUCCAUAUGUUAACCAUCCGGUGUUGCUGAAGGUAUGAAAGACGAGAUUCUUAUGUUGCUCUUCAUCCAACCAAUCAGCCAAAUGAUUAACCAGCGACUCGAUGUUCUUCUCUGCUUUUCCUCCAACUUGGUAGCUCAUAAUCUCAUUCAUGGGGAGAGUAAACGUGAUCACAUGGUAACCCCUUGAAGUAUACCAUUCUGCAUAUUUCUUCAUAUGCUUCUGCUUCGAUCCAAGCCAUCCCAGCAAAACCACGACGGUCCUAUUCUUCUCCAACGCACAUCUCGAGGAGCCAGAGAGAUCAACUGCACCAGUCUCGGGCAAAUGCCAUUUGUACGAAACAUCAGGAACAACAAGAGAGGCCCCAGUUGUGAAUGCUGCUGGUUUUGAUGCCUUAGCCAACUCCGCAGACUGAUAAGCGCUACGAAGAGCGGGCAACGAAGUAACAGAAGGAGCGAGAUUACAGCUGGGGUUAGGAGCUAGGUGAUUAACGUUUGGUACAAUGAGACGAAUCCUGGACAUGAAAGAUAAAUCAGCGAGCUUGGAGGCUGAGAUAUGAGAAACCCAUAAUGACUUUUCGUCCUGAACCGAACCAGACACUGAAGCAGCAAUAGGCUCUGGUUCAGAACCUCGAACAAGUGAUCUAAGAGAGGAGAACUUGUCAGAGACAUCUGCAGAGACAGAAGCGGCGAUAACAGCUGCAGCAGCAACAAGUGGCCGUUGGAUACUCCCAGACAAAUAACUCAUGAUGGCCACAAUCUAAAUCCAAAACUAGCAUAAAAGUCUCAAUGCAAUGGAAAGGACUCCUGUUAUAUAAGAAGAGAAAUAGUAGUGUAAAUAUAAGUAUACACACACACAAAACACAUGUUGAAAACGCGUGUAAGACUACAAGAUUGUUGGGACAUGCUGUAAAUUACCUGGAAGCAGAGCUUCCUUUUGAUUCUUCAAACGAACUCGGGCUGUCAAGUAAUGACAGCCCGACCACAAUGUAGUAAUUGCUUGGUCAGAGUCAAAUCUCUCUUUACACGCGGCUCCUCUGCAAGAAAUCGUUUCAAGUCAAUCACAUGUAUACUUUAAAUUAAACCAGCUCGAAGCUAACUGCUAAAAGAAAAGAUUUACUAUGAUGUUGACACAAAAGGAAAGGAAAAGAAAAAAAUUUUAUGGUCUCUAAAAUCAUACGAGGAUCCCACCUCCAACAAUGAAAACAAAGCUAUGAUUUUUAGAUGAAACAUUCAAAGAUAAAUCACAAUAAUCUCCCAAAAAUUAAUAAUGGGGUCAAAUUGCUUGUUUCCCCCAAUUUGUUGCAAAAAGGACCCACCAACCACGAGAAAUCCCGAAUUAAUCGCAUGGAGCACGACGUGGUGAUUGCGACCACCACCCAACCCCAUUCUACAGACGAAGCAGGACAAUGAUAAUUCGAUGGAAACCAAAAACUCAUUUGUGAUUUUAAAAAAAAAAAGAAAUCGAAUUUCAGAAGAUUAAUCAAUGUAAAACUGAAACGAUAAUGAGUAAUGUUGUGAUUUAGAGAGAGAGGGAGAAAGGAAGGAGAACUCACCGCAGAGAGAAACGGAGAAGAGGGAGAUGAAUCUUUUUCUUUUUCUUUCUCUUUCUUUCUUUCUUUCUGUGUUUAGGGCAACGAUAAUCCUUCGAUAUUCUCUUCAGAUAUAUAUAUAUAUAUACCGCCUUCAAAUAGAACAAAAAAAAAACUAUUUAUUGUUUUGUUUUCUCAUAACAAGUUUAAUUAUAAAAACAAUUUAAUUUGAUAUAAAAACAAAGGCAAAUCUCCAAAAUAGCACUUUUCUAAGUUUAUAUCACAAAAAUAGCAUUCCAAAACUAAAAUGACCAAAAUAGCACAUUUUUAAGUUUAUCCUCUGAAAAUUUUAAUUUUUUUAUUUUUCAAAAUUUGAAAUCUUAUCCCAAAACCUCAUUUCUCAACUCUAAACCCUAAACCCUAAACCAUAAACUCUAAACCCUAAACUCUAAACCCUAAACCCUAAACUCUAAACCCUAAACCCUAAACCCUAACCCUAAACUCUAAACCCUAAACCCUAAACUCUAAACCCUAAACCCUAAACCCUAAAUCCUAAACACCACCCUUUAACUCUAAACCUUAAGUUUGUGACUUUUGAUAAAACAUUAAGUGCUAUUUUUGUGACUUUUGACCUUGAAUGCUAGUUUGGGAACAAAAACUUGAUUUAGUGCUAUUUUUGUCUUUUUCUCUAAAAACAAUUUAGUUAUCUUGAAAAAAAAAUAUUAGUGUCUUUUUACAAUUUAUUUAUUUGUUUCGUUCUUAUGUUUAUUUUGUAAAAGCUUUUAUGGAUCUGAUAACUAGUAAUAUUUUACACCAAAAAAAACUAGUAAUAUUAGGCUAAAGGAGUGUAGUGAAAUUUGUCAAGAAAGUUGUUUAUUAGUAUAUGUAAGAUUAUAUCGAAUGUACUAACUUAUUUUAUUCUUUUUUAUAGUGAAAUUUCAAAAUAAAAGAAUAAUGUUUUUUUUAUAAGUCCUAUUGACUGAUCCGGUCGGUUCCGGGAGGAACGCGCAUAAUGGUACAAAGUGGACUAGCCUGAAAGCGUACCACACUGCCUGACCAAUGUCACGGGGUGGACCAAUCAUUUUUUAUGGCCCACCACGUAAAUCAUUUGGGCCGAAGCCCAAGCCCAGACUGACCAAGUAGUGAUAAUUUAAUUCCCAGGAGAAUCAAAUUCAUGACUGAUGUGGGUACACACCAAACCCAAGAGAUUGCCACUAGGCUACCACCACUUAGUUAAAACUGUUGUGUUACAAAAAAAACUGUUUAUAGUGACUAACCCCAUCCCGAAAGGCCCCAUAUAUCCAGGAAAUCCCGAAAGAUUUAAUUGGAGAGGUAUAGUACCACAACGCUGAUAGAGUAUCGAACCUUCGACUUCUGUUAGUCGUCUGUGACUAACCCCACCCCGAAAGACCCCAUAUAUCCAGGAAAUCCCGAAAGAUUUAUUUGGAAAGGUAUAGUACUACUACCACGUUGACAGAGUAUCGAACCUUCGACUUUUGGUAGUCGUUCGUAAGAAUCUCAAGGAACUACUAGGCCAACUUGAGAUUUCGAAAUAAUGUUAUUUAUUUCCUUAUCGCUAUGAAAUAAAUGACAUUUCCUUUUUUAAGUAAACUUUUAUUUAACCAGAAAAAUGUUCAAUUGACGUAUGAAUCAUACCAUCCCACCACUUGGAUGCGGAGCAUAAAGACAUUGAUGUUUUGUGACGCGAAUAUUAACAAAAAAGGUUCAUAAACGAGUUAUAUCAUGUGGCUCGGAAUCAGACGGUGUAAAGAAGGCAGGGUAUAAUUAUUGAAAAUCCUUUUUAAGUGCCAUAUUUUUUCCUUAAAAUAAUUAUAAUAAUUUCUUGUCAACUUUUAUGUGAAGGAAUAUUCGCUUUGGAUAUCCAAUAAAAAAAAGGGUACGGGGGAAUCUUGGUUUUACACUACGCCAAGUUGUCCCCACCACCACCAUUUCAAUCUCUUCCUUCUUUUUUGGAAGUUUUGGGAGAUUUGAUUUCUAUUCCUGAUCAUCAGACCAAAGUGUUUGGUCUAGUGUCUGCAAACUUACUUUCUGCAAACUUACUUUCUUGCUGAAAUAUAUAUGGGUUUGAAAGUGGGAGAGGAGAAAUGCAGAAAAAAGCAGAGAAAAUAAUAUACAGAUUGAUCUGUGUUUAGUUCCCAAUCAACAUUAAAAAUGUUAAGAUAUACUCUCAAUCCCCUUGAUUGAUACAACAUUAACUACUCUGUAAAUGCACAAUAUAUUAUUUCCUUAUGCUCUGCUCUCGAUUAUGUAUAUAUGUCUAUGUUCAGUCUAUCAAUAAGAUUAUCUUCCAUAUUCAACAUGGUAUCAGAGCAUUGACUUCUUGACCUAAAUUUUUUUUUUCUCUGCGCCUCCAUCUUCUUCUCUUCUUCCCUCCCGCUCCUUUCUCUGUAUCUCUGUUUCUUCAUUCCUUGAUUCUCUGAGACAUCAUGAACACUGAAAGCUCUGCAUCCGUUGAACAGACCUCUGUUUUCAAUGUUCGAAACCCUCAAAGUACGUUGCUCUCGGUGAACAUGUCAAGUGUCACCAAACUCACCAACGUCAACUAUCUUAUGUGAAGUAAGCAAGUCACGGCUUUACUCGAAGGUCAUGAACUACAUCCGUUCCUUACUGACACUGAUCAAGCUCCUCCACCAAUGAUCACCGUGGAAGGCCAAGCUACGCCGAACCCUGCCUUCGCUGCCUGGAGACGAUAAAGAUCGCCUCCUGUUCAGCGCCAUGAUCGGAGCCAUCUCCCUUCUGGUUCAAUCCAUCGUCUCCAGCGCCACAACUUCAGUUGAGAUCUGGAGCCUCCUCGCUACUGCCUUUGGAAAUCCGACACGAGGUCACAUCCGCCAGCUCAAACAUCAAAUCAAAAGUUGUACCAAGGGCACCAAAACCAUCUCAGAAUACCUGCGCAUCAUCAAAGCCAAGGUUGACGAUUUGGCUUUGCUUGGGAAACCGAUGGAUCCUGAAGAUCUAAUAGAACAAAUCCUCGCUGGACUUGGUGAAGAGUACAAGCCUGAGAUUGAUGCCAUUAAUGGCAGAGAUCAACCCAUCUUCUUCGCUGAGCUACAUGAGCGGUUACUUAAACGCGAAGCUAUGCUUAUGUGCACGGAAACUCCUCAAGCAACACCUAUCGUGGCUAAUGCAACUGAUACUCGAUCAUGGAGAUCCAACAACAACCAGCAAGGCCGUAGCAAUCAAAACUCUCGUCCCCACAGCAACAACAACAAUCGCCAGUACCAAAACAAUCAACAACGUGGAGGAAGAGGACAAUAUCAAGGUCGGUGCCAAGCGUAUGGUGUUCAUGGCCAUAGUGCCAAGUUUUGCCCUGAGUUUCGUAUUGUACGUGGGUCUCAAGCAACUCAACAAUGGCAAUCCUCUCCCAACCCACAGCAGUGGCAGUUUGCCACACAACCAUGGCAGCCAAGAGCUAAUCCAGCAAUGCUUUCCGACUCCUCAACUUGGCUGCUGGACUCCGGAGCCUCACACCACAUGACCUCUGAUCUCAGCAAUCUCUCUCUCCACGCACCUUACAAUGGCAGUGACGAUGUGAUGCUUGAAGACGGCUCGGGUCUCCAGAUAUCACACACUGGUUCUUUCUCUAUUCACACUUACACUCGUCCCUUCUUUAUUGACAAAGUUCUACGUGUUCCUUCACUUGCAAAAAUCUCAUAUCUGUUUUUCAACUUUGCUCAACUAACGGCGUUUCUGUGACCUUUACACCAACUUAUUAUCAGGUGAGAGACCACCAAACGGGAACCCUUCGGCUGGAAGGCAAGCCUAAAGAUGGAACAUACGAGUGGCCAACUCCGAGUUCCUCCUAUCGUCCAUCUCUUGCGUUUGCUUCCACCAUCAAAACCACUCUCUCAGAUUGGCAUUCUCGUUUAGGCCAUCCGGCUGUUCCUAUCUUAAAACAUAUUGUUUCUGCUUUUCAUUUACCAGUUUCAUCAAACGCUUUAUUAGACAAGCCUUGCAAUGCUUGUUCUAUCAAUAAGAUGCACAAGUUACCGUUUUCCACUUCAACUUUGCAAUCUAAUCAUCCUCUUGAUAUUGUUUUUUCUGAUGUGUGGACUUCACCAAUAAUUUCAGUAGAUGGUUUCAAAUAUUAUGUUAUCUUCGUGGAUCAUUUCACAAGAUACACAUGGAUUUAUCCCUUGAAACAAAAGUCUCAAGUUUUUGAAGUUUUUUCAAAAUUUCGAUCUCUAGUUGAAAAUCGAUUUCAGUUCAAACUUAAGACCUUGUACACUGACAAUGGUGGUGAGUACAUUGGUCUUUCGAGUUUUCUAGCUAGUCAUGGGAUUUCUCAUUUUACAACUCCACCUCACACCCCUGAGCACAAUGGACUAGCUGAGCGACGCCACAGACAUAUAGUCGAAACAGGCUUAGCUCUACUGUCUCAUGCUUCAAUGCCUCGGUCAUAUUGGACUUAUGCAUUUGCAGCUGCAGUAUACUUAAUUAACUGUAUGCCUACACCUCUACUUCAACUCAAGUCGCCAUUUCAAAUUCUGUUUUCUCAGACUCCAAACUUUGAAAAAUUAAAAGUUUUUGGCUGCUUGUGUUUCCCCUGGCUCAGGCCAUAUGCAUCUAACAAACUUGAUGUUCGCUCAACACCUUGUGUGUUCUUAGGAUACUCUAUUACACAGAGCGCUUAUUUUUGUCUUGAUCGUACUAACUCGAGGAUUUAUACCUCACGUCAUGUGUUGUUUCAUGAAAAUGCUUUUACCUUUAGUGUUGCAGGAAAUCUCACAUCAAAUGGGCCAGCACAAGUAGAGGAGACACAUGCUAGGCCAUCAACCGUAACGCCUACUCAGAGAUAUCAACCACCAGUGCAAUCAACACAACCCAUCCCUGCUCCAGCAACUACCAAUCCAGUUCCUGCUCCUACUGCAGUACCUGAUGCGAUUUCUCCUCCUACAAUACCUUCAACAACAACUGUUGCAGCAACUAGUCACCAUUUCAAAUUCUGUUUUCUCAGACUUCAAACUUUGAAAAAUUAAAAUUUUUUGGCUGCUUGUGUUUCCCCUGGCUCAGGCCAUAUGCAUCUAACAAACUUGAUGCUCGCUCAACACCUUGUGUGUUCUUAGGAUACUCUAUUACACAGAGCGCUUAUUUUUGUCUUGAUCGUACUAACUCGAGGAUUUAUACCUCACGUCAUGUGUUGUUUCAUGAAAAUGUUUUUCCCUUUAGUGUUGCAGGAAAUCUCACAUCAAAUGGGCCAGCACAAGUAGAGGAGACACAUGCUAGGCCAUCAACCGUAACGCCUACUCAGAGAUAUCAACCACCAGUGCAAUCAACACAACCCAUCCCUGCUCCAGCAACUACCAAUCCAGUUCCUGCUCCUACUGCAGUACCUGAUGCGAUUUCUCCUCCUACAAUACCUUCAACAACAACUGUUGCAGCAACUUCAGCGACUCAACAAACUGAAGCACCACAACAAGCUGCAGCACCACAACAGCAACCCCCACGCUUAAGCACUAGAACCCGCAAGCCUGUUAACAAACUCAACCUUCACGCCACUGUCCAACAGCCAACGGAGACAAUACCUACAUCAGUUGCACAAGCUCUCAAAGAUCCUCGGUGGAGAGCUGCAAAGCAGGCUGAGAUAGAUUCUUUAUUUCGAAAUAAAACUUAUACUCUGGUCACUCCUGAAAUGGCUUCUAAUAUUGUUGGAUGCAGGUGGAUUUUCACAAUUAAAAGACUACCAAAUGGAGCGGUUGACAGAUUCAAAAUGGCUCCAUAUGUUAACCAUCCGGUGUUGCUGAAGGUAUGAAAGACGAGAUUCUUAUGUUGCUCUUCAUCCAACCAAUCAGCCAAAUGAUUAACCAGCGACUCGAUGUUCUUCUCUGCUUUUCCUCCAACUUGGUAGCUCAUAAUCUCAUUCAUGGGGAGAGUAAACGUGAUCACAUGGUAA